rnacentral:ncRNA from 1 species
CUUAUAAAGAGUGGUUGAGGGACGGGCCCGAUGAAACCCGCCAACCGGCAGCGAUGCAUGGUGGCAAUUCCCGCAGCGUGCAUAACGCUGGCAGAUGAGG